rnacentral:rRNA from 1 species
GAGAGUUAAACAGUACGUGAAAUUGUUGAAAGGGAAACGAUUGAAGCCAGUCGUACCAGCGGAUAAUCAGCCUUUAGAUGCGAUUUUGUGGAGCGUGAAGAGCUAAUCGCCUUCAUGCCUGUAUAUUCGUGUACUUGGGGUGUACUUAUUCGUGUGGUAAGUUAACAUCAAUUUUAGUUGUCAUAAAAUGAUUGGAGGAAUGUAGCUUCGAUCUCGUAUUGAAGUGUUAUAGCCUUUGGUAGAUGUGACGAUCGGGAUUGAGGAUUGCAACGGAUACCCUUCGGGGCUACCUCUCUGAUUUCUGAUUGUUGCUUUGGUGCUGAAAGCUUGCUUAUGGUUAUCAAAGUCGAUGGUCAAUAGGUUAGAAUGGGUUAAAUUCGUUAAGGAUGUUGACGUAAUGGCUUUAAACGA